CGCACGGGUGAGUAACACGUAUCCAACCUGCCGUCUACUCUUGGACAGCCUUCUGAAAGGAAGAUUAAUACAAGAUGGCAUCACGAGUCCGCAUGUUCACAUGAUUAAAGGUAUUCCGGUAGACGAUGGGGAUGCGUUCCAUUAGAUAGUAGGCGGGGUAACGGCCCACCUAGUCUUCGAUGGAUAGGGGUUCUGAGAGGAAGGUCCCCCACAUUGGAACUGAGACACGGUCCAA
rnacentral:rRNA from 1 species